CCAAGUGAUGAUGAAUGGCGUAAAAUGUUCAACUGCUCUGAAGCGUGACUGAAAUCAGCCUGACUGAACCGGC
ensembl:snoRNA